UACAGAGGUCCCGAGCGUUGUUCGGAUUCAUUGGGCGUAAAGGGUGCGUAGGCGGCUUUCUAAGUCUGAUGUGAAAUCCUGGGGCUCAACCUGGGAAUUGCGUUCGAUACUGGAUAGCUAGAGUUCGGCAGAGGGAAGCGGAAUUUCGGGUGUAGCGGUGAAAUGCGUAGAUAUCCGAAGGAACAUCAGUGGCGAAAGCGGCUUCCUGGACCAGAACUGACGAUCAGGCACGAAAGCGUGGGGAGCAAACAGG
rnacentral:rRNA from 1 species